rnacentral:tmRNA from 1 species
GGGGAUGAUCGGUUUCGACAGCGGCUGUCGAAGCAGGGGAAGCGUGUCGAGGAAGCGGCCAUGAUCUCGUAAACCACAGGCCGAAAAAAAUAAUCGCCAACACCAAGCGCGAUUCCUCCCAGGCUUUCGCCCUCGCUGCCUGAUAAGCAGCUAGAGCGAGCCUCCUGACGGGAGUGUCAGCCCGGGGCUGUUCCCGACCCGGAUCCUGGCAUCAGCUAGGGAACUAAACCUUGAUCCCGGUCACGGGGUGAAGAGGGAAACCAAACAGUGACUGAGCCCGUCGGAGACUUGUCCGCGUGAUCUCCGGGGCUGAGAAAAUCGAAGCGGACUGCACACGGAGAAGCCCUGAUUCCGCACCGUUGGACGCGGGUUCGAUUCCCGCCAUCUCCAC